AUAAUACUCCAUAGAUUAGAGACACUGGAAUGUUCUUUAGUCGAAAGUUCUGGCGCCUUAGGAUGGAUCUGCGGUCGAUUAGGUUGUUGUUGGGGUAACGGCCCAACAAGCCUGUAAUCGAUACGGGUUGUGGGAGCAAGAGCCCGGAGAUGGAAUCUGAGACACGAUUCCAGGCCCUACGGGGCGCAGCAGGCGCGAAAACUUUACAAUGCAGGAAACUGUGAUAAGGGAACUCCGAGUGCCCGUAUACGCGGGCUGUCCAGGUGUUUAAAAAUCAUCUGAAGAAAGGGCCGGGCAAGACCGGUGCCAGCCGCCGCGGUAAUACCGGCGGCUCGAGUGGUGGCCACUAUUAUUGGGCUUAAAGCGUCCGUAGCUGGACCGAUAAGUCUCUUGGGAAAUCCGCCGGCUCAACCGGCGGGCGUCUAAGGGAUACUGUUAGUCUAGGGACCGGGAGAGGUGAGAGGUACUCCGGGGGUAGGAGUGAAAUCCUGUAAUCCCCGGGGGACCACCGAUAGCGAAGGCAUCUCACCAGAACGGCUCCGACAGUGAGGGACGAAAGCUGGGGGAGCGAACCGGAUUAGAUACCCGGGUAGUCCCAGCCGUAAACUAUGCGCGUUAGGUGU
rnacentral:rRNA from 1 species